rnacentral:rRNA from 1 species
GACGAACGCUGGCGGCGUGCUUAACACAUGCAAGUCGAACGAUGAUGCCCAGCUUGCUGGGUGGAUUAGUGGCGAACGGGUGAGUAACACGUGAGUAACCUGCCCCUGACUCUGGGAUAAGCGUUGGAAACGACGUCUAAUACUGGAUAUGACUGCCGGCCGCAUGGUCUGGUGGUGGAAAGAUUUUUUGGUUGGGGAUGGACUCGCGGCCUAUCAGCUUGUUGGUGAGGUAAUGGCUCACCAAGGCGACGACGGGUAGCCGGCCUGAGAGGGUGACCGGCCACACUGGGACUGAGACACGGCCCAGACUCCUACGGGAGGCAGCAGUGGGGAAUAUUGCACAAUGGGCGAAAGCCUGAUGCAGCAACGCCGCGUGAGGGAUGACGGCCGUCGGGUUGUAAACCUCUUUUAGUAGGGAAGAAGCGAAAGUGACGGUACCUGCAGAAAAAGCACCGGCUAACUACGUGCCAGCAGCCGCGGUAA